rnacentral:rRNA from 1 species
UAGGGAAUAUUGCACAAUGGGGGAAACCCUGAUGCAGCGACGCCGCGUGAGUGAUGAAGGCCUUCGGGUCGUAAAGCUCUGUCGUAUGGGACUAACAAAAUGAAGGUACCAUGCAAGAAAGGAUCGGCUAACUUCGUGCCAGCAGCCGCGGUAAGACGAGGGAUCCUAGCGUUGUUCGGAAUCAUUGGGCGUAAAGCGGGUGUAGGCGGACUUUUAAGUCAGGUGUGAAAUCCCAGGGCUCAACCCUGGAAGUGCACUUGAUACUGCAAGUCUUGAGUGUGGUAGAGGCUAUUAGAAUUCUUGGUGUAGUGGUGAAAUACGUAGAUAUCAAGAGGAAUACCGGAGGCGAAGGCGGAUAGCUGGGCCAACACUGACGCUGAGACCCGAAAGCGUGGGGAUCGAAACAGGAUUAGAUACCCCUGUAGUCCCUGAGCGGGCUGGCAAGGCGCAU